rnacentral:rRNA from 1 species
UGCAAGUCGAACGAUGAACCCGCUUCGGUGGGGGAUUAGUGGCGAACGGGUGAGUAACACGUGGGCAAUCUGCCCUGCACUCUGGGACAAGCCCUGGAAACGGGGUCUAAUACCGGAUACGACCACUUCAGGCAUCUGAUGGUGGUGGAAAGCUCCGGCGGUGCAGGAUGAGCCCGCAGACACGGCCCAGACUCCUACGGGAGGCAGCAGUGGGGAAUAUUGCACAAUGGGCGAAAGCCUGAUGCAGCGACGCCGCGUGAGGGAUGACGGCCUUCGGGUUGUAAACCUCUUUCAGCAGGGAAGAAGCGAAAGUGACGGUACCUGCAGAAGAAGCGCCGGCUAACUACGUGCCAGCAGCCGCGGUAAUACGUAGGGCGCAAGCGUUGUCCGGAAUUAUUGGGCGUAAAGAGCUCGUAGGCGGCCUGUCACGUCGGAUGUGAAAGCCCGGGGCUUAACCCCGGGUCUGCAUUCGAUACGGGCAGGCUAGAGUUCGGUAGGGGAGAUCGGAAUUCCUGGUGUAGCGGUGAAAUGCGCAGAUAUCAGGAGGAACACCGGUGGCGAAGGCGGAUCUCUGGGCCGAUACUGACGCUGAGGAGCGAAAGCGUGGGGAGCGAACAGGAUUAGAUACCCUGGUAGUCCACGCCGUAAACGUUGGGAACUAGGUGUGGGCGACAUUCCACGUCGUCCGUGCCGCAGCUAACGCAUUAAGUUCCCCGCCUGGGGAGUACGGCCGCAAGGCUAAAACUCAAAGGAAUUGACGGGGGCCCGCACAAGCGGCGGAGCAUGUGGCUUAAUUCGACGCAACGCGAAGAACCUUACCAAGGCUUGACAUACACCGGAAACACCCAGAGAUGGGUGCCCCCUUGUGGUCGGUGUACAGGUGGUGCAUGGCUGUCGUCAGCUCGUGUCGUGAGAUGUUGGGUUAAGUCCCGCAACGAGCGCAACCCUUGUCCCGUGUUGCCAGCAGGCCCUUGUGGUGCUGGGGACUCACGGGAGACCGCCGGGGUCAACUCGGAGGAAGGUGGGGACGACGUCAAGUCAUCAUGCCCCUUAUGUCUUGGGCUGCACACGUGCUACAAUGGCCGGUACAAAGAGCUGCGAUACCGCGAGGUGGAGCGAAUCUCAAAAAGCCGGUCUCAGUUCGGAUUGGGGUCUGCAACUCGACCCCAUGAAGUCGGAGUCGCUAGUAAUCGCAGAUCAGCAUUGCUGCGGUGAAUACGUUCCCGGGCCUUGUACACACCGCCCGUCACGUCACGAAAGUCGGUAACACCCGAAGCCGGUGGCCCAACCCCUUGUGGGAGGGAGCUUCGAAGGUGACUCACUACGU